CCAGAUCUAAAAUAGGAAAAACAUAUAUAGUAGUAUUAUACAACUGUCAUUAAUUUAUUAUCAACUCUUCUAACUACAUUAUUAAAUAAAUUCGUGCAUGAUGCAGAUACUCAUACUAAUACUAGGUAGAUUAAUUAAAGAAUAAUUAAUGAUCACCCCGCUCAUGCCAACACACCAGCAUUGCUAUGCAGCGGCGGAGGAUGUAGAAUUUCGCCCGCUGCUUUUUCGCCAGAUGACCACACCGCUCUCCAAACGUUCGGAUACCGUCAGCCCCGUUGACCCCACCAUCACCAUCACCACCGCUGCCGCCUCCGUCGUCACCACCACCGUGCUGAUGAUUUCUAAAGCAGCUGCUGCUGGUUUUUUUGCUUCCGCCAUCUCUUUCUUCCAUGAAUCACUUUGAUUUAUGUAUAUAAUAUUAAUAUAAAAUACAUAUAUAUAUAUAUAUAUAUAUAUAUAAAGUGAUUAAUUAAUUAUUUAUUUAUAUUGAAGGAGCAGCGAGCAGCUAGCCAGCAGCAG
rnacentral:lncRNA from 1 species